CAGAGCAGAAGACCACCAGAGCCAGACAGAAGACAACCACGGCGGAGCAGAUGGAGAAGAAGACCACCACGGCCACCAUGGCGGAGCAGACAACCACAGACCGGA